AAGCUCGUAGUUGAAUUUCGAGACCAAUUUGUUGGUCGUGCAAUCGUACGUACUGGUAUUAUUGAUUCCUACCUUCUGACGAACCAUGAUGUCAUUAAUUUGGUGUCAUGGGGAAUCAGGACUGUUACUUUGAAAAAAUUAGAGUGUUUAAAGCAGGCUCACGCUUGAAUACAUUAGCAUGGAAUAACGAAAUAGGACGUUUGAUUCUAUUUUGUUGGUUUCUAGGAUCGACGUAAUGAUUAAUAGGGAUAGUUGGG
rnacentral:rRNA from 1 species